GAUGAAGAACGCAGCGAAAUGCGAGAAGUAAUGUGAAUUGCAGAAUUCAGUGAAUCAUCGAAUCUUUGAACGCACAUUGCGCCCGCCAGUAUUCUGGCGGGCAUGCCUGUUCGAGCGUCAUUUCAACCAUCAAGCCCCAGGCUUGUGUUGGAGCCCUGCGGCUGCCGCAGCCUCCCAAAACCAGUGGCGGGCUCGCUAUCACACCGAGUGCAGUAGUUUACUCUUCGCUCAGGGCGUGUGGCGGGUGCUAGCCGUAAAACCCCCAACUUCUCAAGGUUGACCUCGGAUCAGGUAGGAAUACCCGCUGAACUUAAGCAUAUCAAUAAGCGGAGGA
rnacentral:misc_RNA from 1 species